rnacentral:rRNA from 1 species
AGCAGCCGCGGUAAUUCCAGCUCCAAUAGCGUAUAUUAAAGUUGCUGCAGUUAAAAAGCUCGUAGUUGAAUUUCGGGACCAUCAUGUCGGUCGUGCUUAGGUACGUACUGGUAUUGUUGGUUUCUCCCUUCUGACGAACCAUGAUGUCAUUUAUUUGGUGUUGUGGGGAAUCAGGACUGUUACUUUGAAAAAAUUAGAGUGUUUAAAGCAGGCUCACGCUUGAAUACAUUAGCAUGGAAUAAUGAAAUAGGACGUUUGAUUCUAUUUUGUUGGUUUCUAGGAUCGACGUAAUGAUUAAUAGGGAUAGUUGGGGGCAUUAGUAUUCAAUUGUCAGAGGUGAAAUUCUUGGAUUUAUUGAAGACUAACUACUGCGAAAGCAUUUGCCAAGGAUGUUUUCAUUAAUCAAGAACGAAAGUUAGGGGAUCGAAGACGAUCAGAUACCGUCGUAGUCUUAACCAUAAACUAUGCCGACUAGGGAUCGGAUGAUGUUAAUUUUUUAAUGACUCAUUCGGCGCCUUACG